rnacentral:lncRNA from 1 species
CUCCAGGCUCACUACCAGCUUCACCCAAAAACAUGUGCAGCGAGUCCGCGAUUACAUAAUUGUCGUGUUGAUAGAUAUUGCGUGCAUUGUAUACUUAUCCUCAUCUGGAAUUCGUCUACGGUAUAGUUUGCGCGUGUCCGGAAGUUCUGCUGCUUUGAUCGAGUGGCGGACGAUGACUCUCCGUACGUUGCCGCUCUGAAUAGCCAUAUCGGACGCGCGCCUUUGUGUUCGAUCUGAAAAGUGAUUUCUUCCUCCUUUUAUCAAUUACGCGUGUUGUUCGCGUGAUUUAAUGUUGAUUGUACUUCCGAAGACAACCCACGACCCAAUGGUGUGACAAGCAGUGACUAAUGUUAUACGAGAGCGUGAGCUUUUUGACGGGCGACUGAAGAGUGCACAGCCAAUGCCAAAACUUCGGAAGCGAUGGCCCGGGCGGCUUGUUGGCACAGCGAGGAUGACGAACCAGAGACCCGAUAGGCAGCUGUUCAUGGUCCCGACACAGAGGACAGGUUGCAGUGCACGAUUGGAGCGGUCUUUCUGCAAGCCCUAACGAGCCUUAGUAAGUGGUUUUAAAUACAGCAGUGGUGCCACCACGACGAUGCUACAAGAGACCCUAUCAUCAGUGCAAAGUCCAAACUUAAAUACAAAUGCAGUUAUUCCUGGAAAUUAC